CCCCUAGAUGUCCUGGGCCGCACGCGCGCUACACUGAUGCAUUCAACGAGUAUUUCCUUGGCCGAGAGGCCUGGGCAAUCUUUUAAACCUGCAUCGUGAUAGGGAUAGAUUAUUGCAAUUAUUAAUCUUGAACGAGGAAUUCCUAGUAAACGCAAAUCAUCAAUUUGCAUUGAUUACGUCCCUGCCCUUUGUACACACCGCCCGUCGCACCUACCGAUUGAAUGGUCCGGUGAAAUCUCGGGAUUGUGGCCAGUUCACUUUAUUGGGAGUUGGCUGCGAGAACUUGCUUAAACCUUAUCAUUUAGAGGAAGGUGAAGUCGUAACA
rnacentral:rRNA from 1 species